rnacentral:lncRNA from 1 species
UUUUUUUUUUUUUUUGCAUUAUCGUUUGCUGACUUAUUGGCCAAGAGGGCUCUCAAUUAGUUUUAGGUCCAAGAAUUCUUUCUGUAGUUUUCUAAUGCUAGUAUAGCUUCAAGUUAGCUUCUUAAUCUCUCCUGCAGUCGACUGAUUUUUGUUAUUAUUUGCAGCAAUUGAACCUGUUGACAAAGGCUUCAGAUUCAUAUUUGGGUCUAGGAUAUUACAAUCUACCAAUCAAGCUACCGUUUUCGCUUGUGGUACCUUUAUACUCUCUAUCUCCUCUUUGCUUCUGUUUUUCUGUUAUUUAUAGCCAGUCCAAUUUGCUAGAAAUUUAUACUUUCUAAAUCAUCCUAAAAAUUGUAAUGUUGCUAUACAGCUACUAAAUACACUAUGUAUAUAACGCAUAUGUAGGUACACAGUGGUUAAUGUGAUUUAAUAGCUAAGACUAAUUACUAUGAUUUUUUUUGUACUUUUUUGUAUCCUUGCUCCAGUUCGUGACAAUCUCAAAUAUAGUUGUGUUCCACUUUGUUUACUUUUCAUUGUUGUUGUUUGGGAAGAUUAAAUUAACUGCCGUGUCUUCAUUAUAAUAUCAUGCUUGCAUAUUUUUUUUUGUUAGGAUAAAAGGCAAAAAAACAUGAACAUGAAUGAGAGUUGGAUGUCAAUUAAAGAUUACCUAGAUCCUAGAUAUUUGACAGGAGUGAAAGAAUUUGUUGAGUUUGCUUAUUUAGCCAAAGAUCCCACAUAUAAGCUCCCUUGUCCAUGUAAAGUGUGCAACAACUUUGAAGAUCAAACUAUGGAGGUCAUGAAAAGUCAUUUGUGUGGUGGAAUUGUUUAGAGCUAUACUAGAUAUGUAUAUCAUGGUAAAACUUUGAAGAUUCUGAUGAUGAUGAAAAUGACAACAUAAAUAUAGAUGAAAAAAAAUAGUGAGUCCGAUGAUAUUCAGGAAAUGUUAAAUGACGUAGAAGCAGCUAACUUUGGUGAGAAUUGGAGAAAUUUGGGGGAAUAUAAUAGGGAUAUUUCAAAUGAGCAAGAAGGCAAGUAGGUUUCUUAGAUUAUUAUCCGAAGCUAAAAAAAGUCUUUACCUAGGCUGUGAUAAGUACUCCAAACUCUCCUUUGUUGUCCAUAUCUUUCUUUUGAAAACCAGGAAUUGAUGGACUUUGCAAAUCUGCCAAUAUGUUACUGAAAUUUCUCAAUCAAGUGUUUCCCAUGGUAUCAUUUCCUAGUUCAUACUAUGAUGCAAAAAAUUUAAUUCAUGAGUUGAGCCUCAAGUGUGAAAAAAUACAUGCAUGUGAAAAUGAUUGUGCACUAUAUUGGUAAGAAAAUGAAAGCCUAGAUCACUACCCGAAUGAUAAAUGUAAAUCACCUAGGUAUAAAUCUCCUGGUUCUAAAAUUCCUAGAAAAGUGUCUCGCUAUUUCCCAUUACAACCGAGGUUGCAAAGAGUAUUUUUAAGCAUAAGGAGAAAUGUGUUGACAAUGAAAACACAAUGAGACACCAGGCUGAUUCAAUAGCUUGGAAGGAGUUUGACAAAACUCAUUCAUCUUUGGCUAAGGAUCCUCGCAGUGCUAGGCUUGGGCUUUCAACUAAUGGUUUCAAUCCCUAUGGAAAUAUGAAUAAUACAUACAAUAUGUGGCUUGUAAUCCUUGUUCCUUAUAAUUUGCCACCUUUGAAAUGCUUAAAGGAGCCAUUUUUCCUAUUAUCAAUAAUUAUUCCAAGUCCUAAAUGCACAUGAAAUAAUAUGGAUAUAUUUUUUAGGCCUUUAAUUAUUGAGCUAAAAGAAUUAUUUGACACUGGCUUUGAGACUUAUGAUGCAGCCAUAGGAGAAAAUUUUAUGUUACUUGCUGCUCUUUUAUGGACAACAAGUGAUUUUCUAGCAUAAGCCUAUUUGUCAUGCUGGAGUACUAAAGGCUACAAUGCACUUGCAAAUCGUCCACUAUAUAUUGAUGAAUUAGGUUAGAAUUACCUUUCUGACUACUCCUGUAGUCCAAAUUUUGUGGUGCAUAGGCUAACUUUUGAUCUUUACUACUCUUAUUACUCAUAUCUUUGUUCAUUUUGAUCUUGGUUAAACUUCGUAAGUGCAGAAGAUGAGUGAGAGGAAUAAGAUCAAUAGUUCAAAGCAAAAACCACUCACAUAGUUGGAACAAAAUCCUUUCUUCAUCAUAAAACUAAUCGGGUAAUUGGCUAUCCUAAACAUGUAUUUCAGAUUGUCUAGUCAAGUUUUUUUAAUAUUUUAAACUAUUAGGAAGCACAAGAAGAAAGGGAAGUUGGACCAAUAGAAAUUUAUGACAUCACGCACUUCGGCAAGAAGAAGAAUAUAAUGGUUGACCAGACAUUUGCUAUGAACUUACUAAGAAAAUACAAAUUUUACUUGAAAAUAUAAUUUGUUCAACUCUCAUGCAUAUCUAACUUUGGAAAUUUUAUGAUUGUAGAGCAAGGUGAAAGAGAAAUUGUUGGAAUUUGAAUCUAGUGGUGCAAAUAGGAGUGAAGUGGACAUUUCCAUUGAAGUAAAUGAACAUGUAACUAGAUGUACAUGGUCGUGGUCUAUCCUAAGCUAUUGUAAUUGCACAAUAACUUUCAGAGAGAGAAGAAUUCAAGAAAAGAGUAUAACAAGCCGAAAAGCACUUAGCUGAAUUGGAAAUGGCAGUCCAAUCCCAACAGCAACUUAUGGAGAGGCUUGUAAACCAACAAAGUGAAAUGCAGAACCAAGACACAUCUACUCAUAUUGAAUGGUAAGCAAUUUUCAACUAUAUAUACUUGUCUAAAUUGUGUUAUGUUUGUAAAUGAGACGCUCUUGUAAUUUUACAGCAUAUAUGAGACCUUGAAUUGUGACUAAGACAUAUUUAUUAUAGAUACAGUGGCUGUUGCGAUUCAAAAAUAGCAUAAGUUAUUGAACCUUAAUCCUUGGUCUGUGACAAUAUUAACAUGUAAUUUGCCAAAGAAUUUAGUAAAUGCUUGUUACUUUUUUUUAUUUAGGAAAUUUGAAGGUUGUUAUACGUCUUUGAUAUUAAGAGCUUCCUUUGCCUGUGACAAUACUUGUUUUUUACUCUCUACAAUUGGUUCCUAUGUGCAUAUUAAGAGCUAUCUUUGAUUUUGUCUCUUAUUCUGCUCUUUAUGUAGUCACUAUUUGGAUGAGAGUUUAAAUAAAUGAGACUUUAUUUUUUUGUGAAUCCUCAUUUGAUUUUCCUUUUCUCAAGUUUGUUUUGUCAUCUACUAAUAAUUGUAUUUUUCUAUUGCAGAUAUAUUGCACAUUUUAGAGUUUUGGAAGAUGAGUAGCCGGGGCUAAUUAUUGACUCAAAGACUGGUUAUAGUGCUAUCUUAUGCUUAGGGAAUGUUUCGGGCAACACAAAAAUGUUUUGGGACUUGGAUUCGUUUUGUAUUGCUCCCUUGCCUUAUAUGAUAAAACUCACUCUGAUACUACUUGUCAAACUCUUUAUAAUGUGAUGUUGCACAAAAUUGUGAUAUUGGAAGGAUUAUUAUGAUAUUUUGGCAUUUUCUAUUGUAAUGGGUGAAUGCGUUUGUUAUUCAUUAAGCAUUGUUGGUGGCUCCCAUUUUUUUAUAUUACUGUAGCAAGAAAUAUAUCAGACUACACAGUGACAAGAUAUUGUAACUGAAUCACAUUUCUCCAAUGAUAAGCGCCUAUUGUUAGUAAAUCAGGUGCCUUUAUUGACAACAAUUGUUGUGACUGAAUUAAAUUCUAUACUAACAACAAUAUGUUGUCACUGUUGAAAGGUGUUUAGUGACAACAAAAUUGUUAGUAAUUGGACCAUAUACUGAUGACUAUUGUUGAGUUUUUGUGACGAUAUUGCUUCAUGCAUCAUUGACAAGAAGCCAUGUUGUCACUAAACUCCAAGCAUUUAUUGAUAAGAAAAGUUGUCACAAAAGCUCUUUAUUCACUGACGACUUUUAAGUCAUCAGUGUAUACUUUUACCGACGGGCAUUCAGUGACAACCCUGUGAUGACCGGAAAGUUGUCAGUAAAAUCCAUUAGUGAUGACUUUUUACUUUUUGUGACAAGAAUAGGUUGUCACUAAAGACCAAAUUUCUUGUAGUGGGACUUAGUGCUUUUCUUGGGCGUAAGCUAUGAAUCGUGCCUACUAUAAGUGUGAAUCCCUUAUUAUGAUACUUGAGAAAAAUAGAUAUGUAUGUUGGAUAGGAAUCUCUAAUAUAGAUGAUUUACUCUUGGGACAGGCCGGCUCGAGUUGUGAAUUAUUUUAUGGUGGAUUCUUGUACUUGAAUACCAAAUAGUGGAGAGCACUAGAAUAAGGAUUUGUAUCUUGAUUGCACUAAGGUGAGUUUUGAUGGCAAAGGUCAAAGUACAGAAGAUUCUAACAUUUGACCUAGUGAAUUAGACUGAUUGGAGAGAUUGGAUAUAGAAGGGUUAUCAUGGAUUAAUCUAGUCAUAGCCUGAUUAGGGAUUCUAUAGGCAGCGACCAGAUUAUAGUGUACAUCGAGAAAUUUGCAUCGAAGACCUGUUUCUUUCCCCUAUGCCCGUGAGGACUUGAUAAGUGUUUACUGGCCUUUGAGACAGUUUAAUUGCAAUUAUAUAGGUAUUUUAAACCCUUUUAUGAUAUCGGAUACUUGUAACUUGGUUCUUGAUGAAUUACCUUUGCUUAUACUUCCUUGCUACCUAACCACUAAUGUCAAAGUGUGGACUUGACUUGAUUAUUAUCGUGCCGAGAUCAGGAGUCUGGAAUUAGGUAUGGAAAUUUUAGAAAAAAGAUUUGGUUUCUAUACCUGUAUGCAAAACUUGAGAUAGGGUGUGAAACUAUUUAGAUAUGAAGCAUGUUUUAGGGUUUCGUUAGGUAUAUAAGUGAUAAGUGGCAUAGUAUAUUAAGAUAUUGCCCUAACUAUGUUUUACUUUCUCAUCUAUUUUAUUUGGAAAUACCUAAGUGUAAUUUUUUUUUUCGUGGUUGGAUUGGGAGUGAGGGAACUUUACAGUUAUAUGGUUUGAGUCCUGAGUGUACUCAGUUACUUAUUUUGAUCUCUUAAUUUGUCUGGCAAGCUAUCACUUGAGUUCGAGCGAAUUGGGGAGACGACACAUUUGACUGAUAUGUAUAAGGAAAUAGAGAUUCUUCAAAAGGAAAUAGAGUUCCAAAAGAGAUUAGGUGAGUAUUGGGAAGGGUGAUGGAAACAGGAGUAUUCGGAAAAAAUUGAGUUACUAUACAAGAACAUAGAAUUGAAGAAGAAAUAUGAAGAGAUCCUAGAAGAGGUACGGAGUAAGUUUGAGUUAGUGCCUUUGUCUAGUCGAACAGUAUCUCAGGACAUUCCUAGUAAUAAAGAUAAAUGGGGUGAAGGAAGUUCUUGCGAUAUCAAAGGAAAACAUAAAGAGAUGUAUGGAGAUGGAUCCGCUACGAAGGAUAAAGGAAAAAAGGAGAAAAAGAAUGGACACUUCCAGAAGAAAUGUAUAGCUGCUAAGUGUGAAUCAUGUAAUGAACUUCAUACGGGAACUGCCCAAGACAAAUGAAUUUUGGGAUGGUGAAACUGCUGUAAUAGUUAAAGUCAGCAAUUAGUGAUGUGUUAGCUGAAAUAAUUGCAUUUGUGAAACUAUGUAUAUGCAAACUUGAUGUAGUAAGUGUAUUCCCGAUAGAAGUAGUGAAUCUAGUAUUGGAUCUUUUGAUAAGUAAUAUUAAAUAUUGGUGAUUGGAUAGUUUUGAUUCCUGAUUCAUGAAUUUUUUAUUAUAGCUUAGUUUUGAAGUUAAGUGAAAAUUGCUGUUUGUGGUUCGAAAGGGGGAACUUUUGACAUUUUCACUAAUUUUCUUAGUAGGGAGUUUAAUCAUUGCAUUCUUACGAUUUUCUCUCUAGGUUUGAUUGUGGUAACGGUAUGAGUAAAGGGAAGCUCUUGAAAAGUAGAAGAUAUCACUGUAGAAUUUAGUUUUGUGGGCAAAAGAAGAAAAUUUCGAGGAUGAAAUUUCUUUAAGGGGGAGAGAGUGUGAGGACCUGUAAAAUUUUCUUAUAUUAUAUUAUUUUUGCAUGCAUUUCAUUUACUUUACUUUACUAUAUUAAUUUUUCAAAGAUUUUUAUAAGUGAAUAUAGUUUUUAAAUCAUUUUUCUGGUAUAAAUUAGUAUACGUUAAAUUUGAAGUGCAUUGUGGAUGUGGGAUCGGCUAGUGCGAUAAAAUUUUUACGAUUAGGUGAAAAGGUAUUCAGAAAUAUUAUUUUACAAGGUGUUAGGAGACAAUUAGAGAUUAACCAGAUAGAUUAACCAUUGGGAGAAAGAAUAUAAGCUUGAACCCUAAAAAGUGCCAAGUGUCACGACCCGAUUGGAUGUGACUGACCAAUUUUUCUUUACCUUUACCAAUUAUCAAAUUUUGACCAAAAAGCAUCUUCAUUUUCUUGCUUCUUGGCUGGCCCUCAAGAGAGAAAAGAACAAGAAAGAAACUUCAUUUUCAACUUCUAAACUUGCUUGAAUCUUGAGAUUUAGUCAACCACUUUGCAAACCAUUUCAUAAAAGUGUUAACUAAGGAAUACUAAAGGUGUUGGUGGAAUGAUUUUGAAGAAGAAAGCACCAAGCUUCCAUCUUUCUUGAAAGAACAAGGUAAUCUUGGCUAGAAUCUUCCCUCUACUUCAAUUAAUUGUCAAUUAGUGGAUUAUAGUUGCAAAAUAGGUAAUUUUAUGAGACAUAUGAUGGUUUGAAGUGGUGUUAUGAACAUUUUCAAAUUUUAUGGGGAUUUUUCUUCCCUUAUGUCAUGAGUAAUAAUUGGCUAUAGUUUGAUAGCUUUAUUAUGUGAAAUACUAGGGUAUUAUGGGUUAGAUGGACUUGUUUAAAGAAACUUUCAGAUUUUGGGAGUAAAUUUCAAAUUAGGGUUUCAAUUUAGGGCUUUAUUGUGUUUGGUUUUGGAGCUAUUAAUUGGCUCAAAUUGAAGGGGUAUUGUGGCCUAAUUAUGUGUGGUUUCUAACUUAUGUGUUGCGUGUGUAAUUGUGGUUGAUUUGAGUUGAGAUUGGUGAUGACUUGGAGGGUGGAAAGUAAAGAAAAACAAGGUUGAGCAGUUUUGAGAAAUCUAUUGUAUCUUGAUGACGAAAAAUUGGAAUUACGUUCUGUUUGUUGCAUUUGAAACUAUAUUCAUAGAGCUACAAACCAUGAAAAUUUUAGACCCUAGUUCUGUCUGUGUGAUUUAUGGUGAUUUUUCCAAUGUUGACUAAAAUUACAUACUUGUUCUGUCUUUUACUUGAUGAAGCAGCGACUUGAGGCUCGAAUUUGACUGACUUGUGGUAUGAAUCUUAUAAAUGUGUCUUCUGAGAAUUUGUACCCCUUUGAGUCUAUUUUUCGACAGUAUAUAUUUUAUCAAUUUUGAACUUAAGAAUCUUGAGAUAUGAUUUUUCAAAUGGUGGUGGGCAAAACUGGAAAAUCCUAUUUUCCUAGAAUUAUUCUUACUUUCAUUUUGCACCUUAAAUUUAGAGUUAGUAAAUCAUUGUAGGUAUGGUUUUCGGUAGAAGCGAAGGAUUUUUGGAUCGUUCAUGUCUUUAGGACCAGCUACUAACUUUUCACUCCAAAACUAUACUUUUGUGUUGCAUUGAUAAUUAGGCAUAUGACUCGUAAUCGAGUAUCAAUUAUUUUACCUUGGUGGUUUAGGAUGUGCCAGUGAUCCAAGUACUUCGGAAGGAAACAUUUGAAGUUGUUUGUUUGAAUUGGUAAGUAUACCACUCCCCUAAUUUGUUGCUUAUCUCGGCUUUCUGUGACUUUUGUAUACUUUGUAUGAAACGAGGGUGUACUUUAUCACACUCGUUUCUCUCAUCUGUUUAUUCUGGUUUCUGUAUAUUGUAAAGUCUGUAUUUGUUCUCUGUAUCUGUUCUCUGUAUUUAUUGAUGUCGUUUGGAGGGUUGAGUUCAACGACCAUUUUAUGACUUUUGAACUCAAAAUCGGGAGCUAGUUACUCGAGUCGAACCGGCAAGGGGCCUAGUCGAUUAGAUAACGAACCACGGUAAUCCACUUCUAGGAAAUCUUUGGAUAUUGGAGACUCUGGAUUUCCGGUAUACUCGAGUAUUACCACCCACUGUUACUGUUGAGGUGUUCGGGCCUGGUAAGGGAUAUGUUUGGUGGACGGAAUUUGGCGUAAAGUGGUGCUCUAUUAGACUGGUUACUAUACUUGAAAGUUGACGGAGUAUCAACUACUACUUGAUCAAGCACUAAUGAAGAAAAAGGGAAUUUGGCUCUUGAGAGCCAUUUGUAUCUUUUCUAUUUGAGAUGGUUAUUCAUUUCCUUAUUUGACGUGAUCAUUUCAUUGAUUCCAUAAUUCCUGAUUGCUUGUAUAUUGGGUACCUCAUUGAACGUAAAAUCACCACCUUCCUGUUAUCUUUGUUUUCUUUACAGGGAACAACACUUUUGAACCGUGAUUUUAAAGAAAGGGUCGAGUUAGUAUAAACGUUCUUUUGUAAUCAAAACCCUAAUUUGUCUCUUAAUCAAGUAUCACGUUUUGAUUUGUAAAGUUUUCAAUGUAUGUAUAUAAGUGUUUAACCAUGUACAUUAAGUGUAUUCGUUUGAUAUGGUACCUUUGAAUUUGUUGAGAUGCUACUUGCAACCAUUGGUCGAGCGGACGAGCAUGAUGUUUGAACAAGGAAAGAAAAUUUCUGGCGGGAACUGUUCACGAAUCCGGCGGUGUAUUCAGCCAGUCCUUGGCCGGAUAUCUGGCCGGAUUAGCAGAGGAUUUUGAAAAAUUUUUGGGUUGCUCACUGCCUCGAAUCCGACCAGCAAUCCGGUAGGAUUGUGACGUGGCAGCUACUGUUCAUUUUCAUCUUUUUUUUUGUUUUUCAUUUUUCGUUGUUCGUGAAUCGUUUGAUCGCAAUGUUAUCGCUCAGAAUGGUUUGGCCUUCGUGUUCUCGGCUUAGUAAUCUUCGAUUGUUGUUUUCUUGGGGUUCGAUUGUGUGUUAUGUAGGAUUUUUGUGAUUUGACUCUGUAGUUCUGGUGAGAGUUGGGCAAGCGGUCCACCAAACCCUUUGGUUCGCCUUAAGAAAAGGUGGGCGGCCACAAUGGGGACCUGCCAAGACUCCAUCCCUUGGAGACAGGUACUAUUUUGUCGCUUUUGUUGAUAAUUUUUUCAGAAGAGUUUGGGUAUUUACUGUGAAUAACAAAGAUAAUGUGCUAGGGGUUUUCCUUAAAUGGAAGGCUCAGGCUGAAAAUCAGACGGGAAGAAAGAUCAUGGUUCUCCGAACAGACAACAGCGGAGAAUACAAGAGUGAUCCCUUUCAGGAGAUAUGCCAAGAGUGUGGCAUAGUUUGGCAUUUCACAGUUAGAAGAACACCACAGCAGAAUGGGGUGUCAGAGCGUAUGAACAAGACACUAGUGGAGAAAGCACGUUGCAUGCUGUCUAAUGCUGGGUUAAACAGAAAAUUUUGCCCUGAGGCUGUGACAUACACUUAACAUCUCGUUAAUCGCUUGUCAUCAUCUGUAAUCGAUGGUAAGAUUUUAUUAGAGGUAUGGUUUGGAAAACCUGCAACAGACUAUGAUUCUUUACAUAUUUUUUGUUCUAUUACAUAUUAUUAUGUAAAUGAAUCAAAGUUGGAUCCACGAGCAAAGAAGUCUUUCUUUAUGGGCUUUAAUGUUGGAGUUUAGAGAUACCGUUUGUGGUGUCUAAAAGCAAAGAAAACCAUUAUUAGUAGGGAUGUUACCUUUGAUGAAUAUGCCAUGUUGAAUAAGAUAACCCAAGAUGGGACCAAUGUUACUCCAUAAUAGGUGGAGUGUAUGCCGAAACAAAUAGAGUUUGAGCAAAUAAUGGUGAGUCUAACAAAUAGCACCAUCAGUGACUCUCAUAUGGCAGAAGAGGAGUCAAAUCAGAAAGAGAUUUCUACCCAAGAACCUCAAUAACAGCAAGAGUCAAUUGCCGUCAAUAGGCCAAAACGAGAAAUUCAAAAACCUGUUCGUUUUGCUAACAUGGUGGUUUAUGCACUUCCAGCUGUUGAUGAUGUUCCAUCAACCUUUUUUGAAGCAGUUCGAAGUGCAAAAAAUGGUAGAUGGAAAGAUGCUAUGGAAGAAGAGAUGCAAUCUCUUUAGAAGAACAAGACGUGGAAGUUGAUAUAACUACUGAAGGGCAAGAAGGCAAUUGGAUGCAAAUGGAUAUUUGCAAAGAAAGAAAGAUUUCCUGACAAGAUUGAUGCUCGCUACAAGACAAGAUUGGUGGCUAAAAACUACGCUCAGAAAGAGGAAAUUGAUUAUAAUGAGAUAUUUUCUUCAGUUGUUAAAUAUUCCUCUAUUAGAAUUUUGUUGGCCUUGGUAGCACAGUUGAAUUUGGAGCUAACUCAAGUUGAUGUGAAGACCGCGUUCCUUCACGGUGACUUGAAGAAAGAAAUCUAUAUGUCUUAGUCAGAUAGAUUCAAAGUUACUGGUAAAGAGAAUUGGGUUUGUAAGAUGAGCAAAUCGUUGUACAAAUUGAAGCAUUCAUCGAGGCAAUGGUACAAACGAUUUGACCAGUUCAUGAUGGACCAGAAGUACACAAGAAGCAAAUAAGAUCAAUGUGUGUAUUUGUGCAAAUUACGAGAUGAUUCCUACGUCUACUUACUCUUGUAUGUUGAUGAUAUGCUAAUAGUAUCAAAGAGCCAAGUUGAAAUUGACAAAAUGAAGGCUCAAUUGAAUAAAGAGUUCGAGAUGAAGGAUUUGGGAGAAAUUAAAAAGAUUCUCAGUAUGGAGAUAAGCAGGGAUAGAACGAGAAGUAAGUUUUGUCUAACACAGAAACAGUAUUUGAAUAAGGGACUACAACGUUUUGGUAUGAAUGAAAGUUCAAAACCUGUAAGUACUCCGCUUGCUUCUCAUUUGAAACUUAAUAGCCUAUUAUCUCCAAAGGCGGGUGAAGAGCGAGCAUAUAUGACGAAAGUCCCGUAUGCUAAUGCAAUUGGUAGCUUGAUGUAUGCAAUAGUGUGUAUGAGACCCAACAUUUCACAGGCAGUUAGUGUGGUAAGCAGAUUUAUGCAUGAUCCGAGCAAAGGUUAUUAGCAAGCUGUGAAAUGGAUUCUACGGUAUAUCCAAGAUACUGUAGAUGUUGGAUUAGUAUUUGAGCAGGAUGAAUCACUUGGUCAAUUUGUAGUUGGAUAUUGUGAUUCUGACUAUGCAGGUGACUUGGAUAAGCGACGUUCGACAACUGACUCUUUGUUCACAUUUGCCAGGGCACUAGUUAGUUGGAAAUCUACUUUGCAAUCAAUAGUAGCUUUGUUUACAACAGAGGCAGAGUAUAUGGCGAUUACUGAAACUGUGAAGGAGGCAAUUUGAUUUCAAGGAUUGUUUGAAGACUUGGGAGUUGGUUAAAAAUACAUUAAUGUGUUUUGUGAUAGUCAAAGUGCUAUUCACUUAGCAAAGAACUAUAUCUUGCAUGCAAAAAUGAAACACAUUGAUGUUCGCUAUCACUUUGUAUGAAAAAUUCUCGAAGAAGAGGAGAUUUUUCUCCAGAAAAUUCGGACUACGGAGAAUCCUGUAGAUAUGAUGACCAAGGUGAUUAUAAGGUCCAAAUUUAAACAUUAUUUAUACUUGGUCAACAUCCAACACAUUUGAGUUGGCGCCUGAGGGCGCAAAUUUGGAAGCACCGCAAGGACCAUUUGUUAUUUUUGUUUGAGGGAGAAGGUUUAUAUUUUUGGUGGAACUAGAAAUUAUGUCAAGGUGGAGAUUUGUUGACUUUUGGCAUAUUUGCUAAGUCCCACAUCGGUGACUUUAGAAAUUGAAGGAUUGCUUGAGAGUUAUAAAAUAAUUCUCAAACUUCCUAAUAGAAACACACCAAAGAAGAGACACCAAACUUCUCCCAAAUUUAUUAAGAACAUGUCACUUAGGCGGUAUUCGAAAAUUAGGCAAAAUUAGUUGAACUCCAUUAUCAAUUUUCGGGUGCAUUCUUUCCUUAUCUCUUUUAUUUAUUCCGCAUUUAUUUAGUAGUUUCUUUUCAAUUGUAGUAUAACAUUCAAUAUAUUUGUCGGGUUUAUUUGUAGUAUUUUAUACGGUUCUUUUGGAUAUAUUUUUCUUAUUCAUGUGUACGUACCAUUUAUGUAUACACAGAUCUAAUUGUGAUAAUACACCAUGCACGUAAAUUCUGUCAUAAGAAAACUGGGUUUUAAGUAGGACCGCUUGUGACCCCUCCAACCUUUCCUGGAAAUUUACUUGGAAUGAUAAUUCUGUUUAAGAAAAUUUUUUAAUGAUCUUUCUUAAGAAUUAUUGAAUCAGUUUAAAUUACUAAUACUAUUUUUGAGUGAAAAAUUACCCAAUUUUCCCAACAAAAAGAUCUAGAUUUGUGCCACGUUCAAGAAUCUCCUAGCGCCUCAAUUGUGGUCUUUCUUGUUAUUUGUCCACUUCAUGAUAUUAAUUGAGGUGUUCAAACAACAAUUAAUUUCUUUCAGCAUGAUUCCUUUGACUUUCUAGGACAUAUUUGAUAGUACUAUAUAUAUAUAUAUAUUUGUUUAACUCAUGGUUGUAGUCUCCUUAAUAUCUUGUAUGUGAAAAGUGCACCGGAAAGUGAUUAUUUCUGAAGUGCUUUUAUUUACAUAGUUUAGCAGUUUCUUUUUUGGGUCGAAAAUUUAGUUUAUUAGUCAAUAAUAGAAAUGUGUCAUGAUUCCAGUCUUGUUAGUGUAAGUAGGAUUAUACUAUCCACUAUAACAAUCUUUUUUUUUUUUUGAUUGACACAGGAAUAUCCUGACUUAUGUCAAACUAGUCCCCUGUGAUAGUGCAGAACCUACUCUAAAGAUGCACUGUCAACCUAGUGGCCUCAAUGUAAAGAUCCAAGAGAGGCGCCAUUUGAUCUACCUAUGGGAGCCCACUAUAGCAAUCAGGUGCAGUACAACUUGCAUUCAAGCAGUCUUGGACAUGGUUUAGCAUAGUGUGUGAUUUACCAUGUGUUAAUUCUGACAUCAAAUGAGCUUAUGAAAUGUGUAAUAGCUUUUGAACCCCAAUGCCUAGCUUAGAUGGGAACAGUGUUUUUCACUGGAAGGAAUCAGGUACAAUAAUAUUACAACAUAGAAAGAGGCAGAAGAAAUACAUGUAUUCCAAGAAAGAGGAAGUAACAAGGACAACGAAAGUGUAAGGGAGAGAGUAUAAAUUAUAAAGAAUGUAAGUUAGAGAAGACGGUUAGGCAACAGCAACAAAUUUCAGGGCUAGCCUGCAGGCCAAGUGAAGCACUUGGUUCAAGACCGCAGAAGCUUAGGACAUGUCAUUCUUUCCAUAAUUCUGUUUUAUCAAUCUUACAGCAGAUUUCUUCUUCAUUCUUUUUGGAUAUUAUGGAUACUACAACAUACAAUUACUUUGCUUUUUGAAUAAUUCAGCUUGAUGUAUAGAAUCCAUCACAACUACAUUUAAGCAUAUUCAUGAACAGAUCUCCCUUACUGAAUACCUGCAAAGUGUGAUCUUGAUAAUUUCCUUCACAUUUGAUCACUCCAUCUAACUCAAUUCAUCACUUGUGGCUAGGGGUGAGCAUCGAAUUCGAAUUCGGUAAUUCGGUAGGUUGAAAUCGAUAAUUUUCGGUAAAUGGUGUUGGGAUAUUUCGACCUAAUUCGUAUUCGAAUUACCAAAUUCCGAAUUCGAAUUCAAUUCGGAUUGAAUUCGGUAAACACAAAUUGACCGAAUUGUCCGAAUUCCUGAAGCAAUCGCAGCCUGUUUUGCUUUGUAUAAUAAAAUAAUUUCUAGCAAUAAAAUAAGUGCUGUUCACAAUUAUCAUUCAUAAAGCUGCACCAAAAUAAUCAAAAAAUAGAAGUAGUAAUCACGUCCAUAGGCACAAUAGCCAGAUGAUUGCACUACCAAAUCACAACAUAUAAAACCUCUUCCUAGUAGCUAACGCCUACCAGUUCAAAACAGCAUUACUUAAGAAAUCACAAAUCCAAACAGAAUCUAGAAAACUUCAAAAUUACUAACUAUCCCAAACUUCAUACAUAUCCAGAAAUGACAAAUCCACAAAUCCAGAAAUCAUAAAUUCACAAUCAGAAAUUACAGAAAUCAAUCCAGAAAUCAUAAAGGUCAAUUAUCUAGAAACAAUCCACAAUCCACAAGAACAAACAAUUAUAGGUGGUUCAACUCUCAAACUUCAGCAUUUGUGACCUCUCAAAGGUCAAUUACAGUUGAUUCAGUUCCGGUCUUCAGCAACUCUGCAAGAACAAACAAAAUUCAUGAAGUAUCAUAAAGGCAAUUAUUAAAAAUAAAGAAAUACUUCAAAUUUUGCAAUAAAAAUUUUGAUAGCAUACCAGAUUCGAAGGCUUCAAGUUCUUCCAGAUUUUCUUCUACAUUUAAUUCUGUCUUGGAGGACCGAAACCAAUCUUGAGCACAUAUUAAACUUUGCACAAUUCUAGGAGUCAAAGAACUCCUAAAUGUAUCAAGAACACGACCUCCGGUACUAAAAGCAGAUUCGGAGGCCACAGUAGAAAUUGGGACUGCUAACAUAUCACGAGCAAGUUUUGAAAGGAUUGGGAAUCUAAGGCUAUUGGCCUUCCACCAUAACAAGAUAUCAAAUCUCUCAUCAUCUUCCUCACAAUCCUCAUUCAAAUAUUUCUCUAAUUCAGAUUUUGCAUCCCUACCCCCAAGUUCCAUUUUUCUCUUCUUAAACUCCAACUUGUACCGAUCAGUGAUUGUUUUAGAGGCAUCCCCAUAUCCAUAAAAUGUAGUUUUACUCCUUUGAGAUUCACUUGAAAGUGAAGAAACAUGAGACACAGAAUUUGAGGCAGGUGUGUUGAGCAUCUUGUAUUCAUUAAACAGCUCAAACAUUGCAUCUUUUGCAAGGCCAGCUAUUGUUGUACCAUCGGACUCACCAUACAUUUGGCAAACCACAAAUUCAAGGUAUUCAAGUUUAGUUCGAGGAUCAAGCAUGGAGGAAAUAAAAAUCAGCAUAUUCAUCUUUUCAAUCUUUCCCCAAUACUUAUCAUAUUUAUCCUUCAUUGAUCUUGCCAUUGAACUUAAUUCUUCAUUAUCACUUGCUGCCAUUUCAAUUAAAAUGCCAUGUAUGUGACUAAUAUCAGUGAAAAAAUUAUUUGAAGUCACAUAUUUGGAACCAGAAACCUUCACAGUUAGCUGAUAAAAGUUCUCCAAAAAAAUUACCAAGAAUCUAGCUUUUGUCCAAUCAGAUUUUGUUGGCAGAUUUUCUAACUCUUGAAGCAUGUAAGGAUCCUGCUCCUCGAACCUCUCAAAAGCCCGCUCAAACCUUUGAGCCGUGUCUAGCAUUAGAUAUGUAGAAUUCCACCUAGUAGAGACAUCUAAACAGAGCAAUCUUUUGCAUUCAAUUUUUUCAAUUUCCACACAUUCCUUGAAUUUUUUCAAUCUAGAAGGUGACUGUCUAACAUAUCUAACUGCUGCCCUGAUACAAUCAACUGAAUCCCCCAGUUUUUUGAUGCCAUCAUUAACAAUUAGAUUCACUAUGUGAGCUACACACCUCACAUGAGUCCAUUUCCCCCCUAACACAGCUUUCCCCCAAUUUUGAAGUUUUCCUCGUAAAUAGCUGACAGCUACAUCAUUGGAACUUGCAUUGUCAACUGUAACAGUUAGGAUAUCAUCAACUCCCCAUUCUAGUAGACAUUUUUCUAUGGCCUUACCAACUUCAGUUCCCUUGUGACUAGCAAUAGGACAGAAAUUUAGGAUCUUUUUGUUCAGUUUCCAAUCAUUAUCUAUGAAAUGGGCAGUGAGGCACAUAUAGUUUAUCCUUUGAAUGGAUGUCCAAGAAUCUGUGGUUAGACAAAUUUUGCCACUGUUAUUCUUCAAGAGAUGUUUCAACUUAAUUUUUUCAUCUAAAUACAGCUGAUAGCAAUCUCUAGAAAUAGUCCACCUCGAAGGAAUUCUAAAUGAUGGACAAGCAGUCCGCAUCAUGUAUUGAAAACCUCUACCCUCUACAUGUUUAAAUGGCAACUCAUCAACAAUUACCAUAUAAGCUAUGCUUUUUCUAAUGGCUUCCGCAUCAAAUUUCCAACUUAUGAGUGCCCCUUUAACCUCUCCCUCUAAUGUUUCAGUUUCACCCAAACACAAAGUAGCCUGGCCAGUGUGCUUAUUUUUAGGAUUUAGAGGACAUUUAGCUACAUGAGUAUUAAGGGGAGUCGUACCAUGACUUUUGGGAUCCGCGGCUAUGUCCUUCUCACAGUAUUUGCAAAUUGCAUGACGAACUCCAUUCACAUGCUUUACAUGAAAAUGAUCCCAAGCUUUGGACCUCUUCUUGUACUCUCCUCUUUUCUUGCCAAAACCAGAUUCUUCACAGCUUUGUGUUGUAGGACUAGGAAGAAGACCUCUAGAUGAUCCUUCUUGUUCUAACUCAUUGUGACUUGGAUUACUCUCACCAUCAUUAGUAGUAGACAUACCUUAAGUUUUGCGCGAAUCUGAGCAAAUAAAUUAUACAAUUUAGUGCAACAAUCAUUUAGCAAUAAAAUUGAAAUAAAAGACUAGAUGAAAUUGAAGAACCAACUCAGGACAACAUUCAAUGAACGCUGAGAAAAUCAACUAGAACCAACUCAGAACCAACUAGAUGAAAUCUGAGCAAAUUCAAUGAAGCCAGUCACUUUCUUAUCAUAGAACAAACUCAAGACAGAAACCAUAUAGGAAGCAUUAACAUCACAAUGCAGAAAAAGAAGAGGUGAUUCAUUACUGGUUUAGUGCAAGUUAUCUAGAUUCAAACUGGGGCUCUAGUCUAGCUAGCUUGGAUGCUCUAAAGUGGGCCAAACAACAUUUGCCGGCCAAUGGGCAUACUCGACAGCACAAGUGUUGAAGAGCAACUGUAAACAGCUGAAAAAUGAGCCAGUACCUACCUAUCCUGGCCCUGGAAUGGGAUAGCCUUUCUGAACUUUGUCAACUUUUUUCCUUCCAAAGGGGAAAAAAAAACAUACAAGAGAAAUAAAAAUUAAGAAAGGAGGGAAAGUGAGAGAUCAAGAAACUAAAUCAAAAGAAAAAUUAAGGCUAAGGUAAAUGAAUCUUUGUAAUGAUUAUUUCGAAAAAGCAAACAUAUCCCUCAGAAUGCCUAAUAUCCACCUGGGAAGAAGCUAUGGUUCCUCAACCUUAGCACAAUCAGGAUUGCUAGAAGGGAGCACCAAUUUAUAGUCACAGCUUUCAGAUUACUAAAUGUUUCAUCAGUGGGAUAUCAAAAGUUUGAUAUAAUUAGUCAAGAAUCAACCUCCCACAAAUCUUGAAACUUCAAAUAAAUGAGAAGAAUUUAAAAAAAAAAAAAAGAAAGGACCCAGAAAAUUUCAUUUAAAACCACAAACAGGAACCCCAACAACUAUAAAAAUCAAGAACAACAGAUAUAAAAGAAUGAAUGAAUCAGAAAAUUGGAUCAAAAGCAGAUUUGUAAAUGCAAAGAUUAAGAAGAAGAGAGGGAGAACCGGCUCAAGUUUGCUGCACUAGAAGAAGAAUGAAACUGAUCCAAGUUUGCUCAAGUUUGUACCGGCUCAACUACUCUUAUCCAAUUCAAAAACUCAUAACUUUUAUCAAGAUUCAAUCAGGAAGGAAAUUGAGCAUCAAACAUCAUACAAGUUCCACUGAAAUUAAAUUAGCCCAUAUAAAAAAACUAGCAAAUUAAACAACGACAUCCAGAAUCAAAUACCAAAAGAAAAAAAAACACCAAAUGAAAAUCCAAUUAUUGAGUCUUUUUCAUAAACCCAUUUACCUGAUAGGCUUAUCCAAGGCUUCACUGGAAUCAGCACUAGCGAACUGUGGUCCUGGACCUCCCGGUGAUAGUGGAUGCUCCGCUCGGUCAGCAAUGGUGAAACCUCGGUCAGAAUGGGAAACGGAGAAAGAGUGGACUGAGCAGAGGAGAGGAAAGGACAGAGGACUGACUGAGGAGAGGACUGAGCAGAAUGAGGAGAGGAGAAGAAACGAGAGAAAGAGGGGAACUGAGGAAGAUGGGACUGCGCCGCGGGCCGCGGCAGUGCAGAGGAGCGAGAGGAAGAGGGGACGAAGAGCGGAAUUAGGGCACCACGUCUGAAAAUCUGAAAUUGGACCAAUAUGAAUAUCGGACAUAAUGAACUAUUUCCUAUGUAACUUAAUUCGGGAAUUUCGAAAUUGAAAACGGUAUAUUAUUACCGUUUUACCGAAAUUAAAUCGAAUUCGGUAUAUCCGAAUUCAAAAACUAUAAAAUCGUUUUCGAACCUAAUUCGAUUUCAACUUGUACUAUAUCCCCGAUUUACCGACCGAAUUACCGAAUUAUCAAAUUCGAUUUACCAAAUUGAAAUCGAUUUCGGUCGGUAAAUCGGUAUUUACCGUAAUUGCUCACCCCUACUUGUGGCACAUUUUGUACACAAAAUCUGGGCGACCUCAUGUGUGCCUUAGUCAACUAAAACUGUAAAUCUACAAAGGAAGUUGGCUGAUUAUUGGACUGCCUACUCAAAAGUAAUCCACCUUAAAUUCGCAAAGAAGAUAAUCGUCUUUGCAAUCCUAUGUAAUAAAAAAUGUUGUAGCCUCUGAACUUUUUGCAAUGACCUUAAAGUAGCCCUCAUGCACAAGUUCUCUCCUUUAUUGAAAUUUUCUUACGAAACAUUCCUUAGCAGGCAUUUUCUGCUGUUUAAUUUCCAAAAUGAGUCUCCUUCUAAUCACUUUCCAACCUAGUAAAUUCUUGAGCACGAAAGUGGAACUGAAGAUUUCUGAGGCAGGUUCAAAGCAAAAGGCAGCGUCACUCAGCGGCAACCAGUUCAAUCAUUUGGAUAAUCACAACCAGACCAAAAAAUUAAUCAUACAAAACCAGCAACUGAAAGCCAAAAAAACUCGUAGAGAUCAAUACUUAGCUGAAAAAUAUAACAUUAGAACUGUGAUUAGAAAUCACAUAAUCCUUCACAUCUGAAAUUCAUCUCACUUUUUGACACCUUGCCCAAAACUCACAGAUAAUAAUUCCCAUUAAAACUUUAGACCCAAAGUAAAGAAUUGAUAUUAUACAGCUACCAAUGUACAUAAAUAGAUCUGGAUAUUUUAACAUCAGAAAUGUCUGCUUUUCUUUGAACCUAUAGAGCAUAUUACAUGAUUCAGUAUAAGAUGCCUUGGAGACUGUAACUAGCUUCAUAAUCCAGUUACAGCAGAAUGGAAUAGCAUAUAAAACCUGAAUUAGGAAGGAAAACAACUGCUUCCAUGCACCCUAUCUAACUGCUCUAGUCGAAAGGGAAUCCAGAAUUAAGGAAAACAAUUGCUGCAGCUAUAAGCUAACUGUGCUACUCUUAAGGAAGGAUUUUCAAUUUCUUUUAAAAAUCCAUGCAUACAAGAUCACCAUUUCGGUGCAAAGUACCAAAGGACUAUCCACGCCCAUAAUAAUAAUCUAACAUUUAGAAGAGGCCACUGCCAGAAGCACUGGAUCACAAGUCUUCUCGAAGGAAAAUAAAAAGCAACGAACUUUUACAUCUAAGUCCUAAUGCCUGCUGAGUCAUCCUAAAAGAGAACAAGGCAUGAACAAAAAAUUACGAACUGCCAUAGUUCCAAGGCCCCAGCCUAGCUCCAUCACAUCAUUGGAACUAUACAAUGGGAGUUGAUAUGUUCUGGGGAGGCUGUGGAACCAUGCAAUGUUGUUACUGCCAUUGUUGUAAACCCUCAUUCACAUUCAUCCCCACUUUCUGCUCAGAACCAACAGUAUUAUCUUCAACAUCCAUAGUUGAUACCUCUGCGUCAUCAGCUUCCAUCAUAUCAGAAACAUCUAUUUGGGGAAUAGCUUCAUCUCCACUUGUUGAAUAAAGCUGAGGUGGCGGCACCCAAGGAACAACUGCUAGACACUAAUUUUGUGGAUCAGACUUGUUAUCAUCUGUUCUUUCUUCACUAUCUAAUGCUCUCCAUUGACUAGAGUAAUUGGAC